UGGUUUUUGCGGCUGUCUGAGCAGACACUGCCGCGACGCUACCAUCUGCUGGAUAAUGGCUGAACGCCUCUAAGUCAGAAUCCAUGCUAGAACGCGACGAUUACCUGCCCUCGCACAUUUGAGAAGGAUACGAAUAAGGCCCUGUGGCCGCAGAACCGUAGCAGGCCGGCAGCGGUGCGCAUGGCGGAAAGGCCGUGUGUGCUUGCCGGCGGAUGGCAAUGUCAGGAUGCGCGAGGAUAGAUCCUAUGCAUACGACUUAGAUGUACAACGGGGUAUUGUAAGCAGUAGAGUAGCCUUGUUGUUACGAUCUGCUGAGAUUAAGCCUCUGUUG
rnacentral:ncRNA from 1 species